CAUAAAUAGGUGUAGUGUAUUUAUAAAGCAAGAUUUUAGGGUUCCUGGCUAAUUUUUAUGUGUAGCAGACAUUGUUCUGAAUUUGUGUGUCUGCAUGAAGCGAGGGAGUUUCCUGCUUUAAAGCACUUAACAGCAGUCAGCCUGGGCGUUUCCAUUUUGUACUCACUGCUUUCCCCCUCCCAAUGAGUGUCCUUUGUGUAACCCCAACUAAUUCAGAAAUCUCUCUGCUGUAGUGAGGACUGCCCUGUCAUGUGACUGAGGCAGCUAGUUGCAGCCUGUGAUUGGGCAAGAGCUAAUUGGCGGCUGUGUAUAAGAACUCCCCGCCUUAGAGUUUAGUAGCAGCUUCCCUCGCUCGCAUUGCUUAGUUACAUGUAGUUUGUAAGGAUGAGACUAGGCAGUGAUUCAGCAACAUGUGAUAAAGUUUAACACUCAUGUGGGCUUGACCAAGCCAAAUGGUAGACAAUAAAGCCAGCUGCAGCCAAUUUGGAUUAAUGAGCGUCACCUUGGAGUUUGGUAACUGUCACUUUAAGAUUGCUUACUAUUUUCAGAAGACUGCAGUUAAGAAUCUUUGACAGGAACUUGCCUGAGCCUCUUUUCCUUUGUCGUUACCUUGUUUUUAUCACAGGAAUCGAGUGCUGGUGACUCUUUACUCUGGAACAUAACUGUAGGGGGAGAAACUUUAAUGCUGCCUUCUGACAAAAACAUUUUGUAAUCUGUCUUGUCUAGCUGUAGUGCCGAACGCUUUUUAGUUAACGGAAGCUGUAAAAUCUUUUCACCAGGAAGUAUUAUUUGCUCGGAAUGGGUUUGGCGUAAUGGUGGAGGUGCUGUUGGUCCAGAAAUUUUAGUUGCUCAUCAGUCGCUCAGUAGUCAGUGUAGAUUCUGUUUCCUCAAUCAGCAGCUACAUCUGGCUACUGGGUCUCUGAAGACAUCUUGUGGCAUCUCUUCACUGAUGACUAUUUGGAUACCUUGAACUGCUGUUACUUUUCCAUGAUACAAAAUAAAAUUAUUCAGUAAUGUCCAGAGCUAUGUCUAGAAAUGUUUUUCAAUAAAAUGAUCCCACUUUCCAGUGAAA